rnacentral:misc_RNA from 1 species
CGAUCCUUUCCUGGCGAGAGCAAAACUUUCAUCCUUGCUCGCGCGGCUGCAUGCAAACAUAGGCGACAACACGGUAGCCCCAAAGGAUCAGGGACGGCACUCUCAUAGCUAGUCCACGACACCACACGAGCCAGCUGUGGCACGGAGCAGCUACUGGCUUCUUUUCUCUCGCUGCGCCUUAUCGUUGCCGACGCAUAGCGGUCACCGCAUAGAUUUCAAUACAACCACACACACACACACCAUACGCAGCGUCUCUCAUCUCUCCAUCCUUUACAGCGCGCCAUCAGCUCACCAUGGAUGAAUUUGCAGAGUGGGGCGAGGGCACGACUGGUGUCGUUGCAGCAGACAGCACCUACACCGAGGGGCUCGACCUCGAUGAGUUUCGUGAGCAGCUGUGGCAGCGCAAUCAGCGCGAUGCCGUUGUGUGCCUUGUUGACUGCAACGAGGGCAUGUUCGGAGUGCUGCCAGCUGGCGAGUCGGCGAAGACGACUCAGACUGGUAAGAACGGGGAGGGUGCACCGGUGCACACUCGUGGUGUCACGAAACUCGCACUGCUCACCAUUGGUCAGGGGGCAGCUAUGAGUAGUGGUGCUGCGGGGGGCUCGAAGGCCGCCGUCGGGUCCUCCCCUUCUUUCUUCUCCAUGACGAUGCAGUGCAUCCUCGCGCUGCUAAAAGAGAAGAUGAUGUGCGGCAGCAAGGACGUCGUGGCGAUUGUGUUGUACAACACACGAACGUCAGCCCCCUCGACGGGCUUCCGCGGGGUCUACGUGAUGCAGGAGGCCACUCGCAUCGGCACGGAAUGCAUGCAGAAAGUGGAGCAGCUGGAGGCAGCUGGCGCUCCCGGAUCCGUCGCGUACGAGGAGUUUGAGGCGCGCAUCGGUCACUGGCCCACUGCAUCGACAUCCCCCGCUCUCGCCGCGGCGUCUUCGGCUAGCGGUCGCGCAGAGCCGAAGGCUGCUCUUCCGGCAGCUUUGGCCGCCUUUCCCGCAUUCAAGUUCAGCGAAGCACUCUGGGAGGCUCAGCGCAUCUUGCUGAGCCUCCGCAGCGUGCAGGCUAUUCGCCAUCGGCGGCUCUUCGUCUUCACAAACCGCGACGACCCGAGCGGCGGUGACGCACAUGAGUGGAACCUGUGCCGCAGCCGCGCAUACGACCUAGGCAAGGAAGGCGUCGUACUUGAAGUUUUCGGCUUCGGCAACGCCGGCAGUGGUGGCGGUCCACACACAAGCGGCAUCUCCAAAGUCGCAGGCACGGUGGCGAACACCAGUCGAGGCGAGCUGCCGAUCUCCCUCACCGCGCCAGUAGGCGCAGACGGUACCGGCAGCUGCAGUAGCGGCAGCUCUGCAAGUCCGCUCUUUGCCGUUUUGAACGAGCGUGGUCAGUCGCUUGACCCUGCCGCUGCCACUACGGACACCACUAUCGGCCAGAGCGGAUCAGGUCAGUCAGACUCGCCGUCUCCGGCCGCAACGGGCUUUGUGCAAGACUUCUUCUGGGGUCCAUUGCUGCGAGAGAUGCAGAUGGCAGCUGCGCGAUUUCGUGCCAGUGGCGACGGCGACGAUUUGGUGGCGCUGGCUGAGGCCCGCGGUGAGGCCUUCGUGAGCGGCGGUGAGGGUGCGAUCUACAUGAAUAGUGGCGCUGGAGCGCUGCAGCAGCUGCUCGUCUCUGUCGUGCGUCGCGCACAUCCGCAGCGGCCCUUUCGGCACUGCCUGCUCCGCAUCGGUGGUCUCUCUGGAACGAGCACUGCGCUGUCUGCGACGACAGCGGCAGCGACAGCGAGAGAUGAAGAGGAGGCGUUGCGAGUUGCUGCCGUGCCGCGGAUGGCUGUGAGUCUGUACGUUCCUCUCAUGCGCGCUCGCCUUCCGCAGCGAGAGUGGCUGGAUGGGCGCACGAACCGCAUGCUGCGCCGCGUCGUUCACCUCAAUGCACGUACCACCGCAGCUGGUCGGGACAGCGACGACGCCGGUGCGGGGAACAAAGAAGGGGACAGCGGCAGCCCCACAAAACAGCUGCAGCGCCUCCGCAACGAGAAGAAUUGCACGAGCGAGUCGAUGGUGAGGCAGGAAGACGUGGAUCCCGACGAUCUUUGCUACUACGCACCCGUUGGAAAGGAGCGCGUCUACUUUACCAGCGAGGAGCGCAAGCGAAUGGUGGAGGUGGCGGCAACCGGGACGGAGCCUGGCUUCACGGUGUUGCUAUUCAAGGAUCUUGUUGACGCUGUGAAGCGGGAGCAUGUGGUGCGACGAAGCUCUUUCCUUCAUUCGUGCGUGCAGCGCGGCGGUGCUCACUCGCAUCGCCUGUUUGUCCUUUUCGUGCGUCGGCUGCGUGCAAAGCAGAAGGUUGCGAUUGCACAAUAUUGCAGCUCAACCACCACAGCGCCGCGUCUUGUGGCUCUGGUGCCAUCGCCAGACCUCACAGCGCAUCCGGAGAAGCGCGAUCAGGUGCCGGUGGAUGGGAUGGGGCUCUACGUGGUGCCUCUUCCCUACGCCGAGGAGCUGCGCGCCGUGCCGGAGCUGCGCACGUGCACGCGCGUCAGCAAACACGCCACCCCUGUACUGGCGGACAGCUCCGUUGAUCCAACGCACCUCGAACUUGCAAAGCAGGUUGUGAGUGCACUGACGGUGUCCUACCAAGUAGACGCGGUGCUCAAUCCCGCGCUCCAGCGGCAGUACCGCAAACUGCAAGAGCUCGCCCGACAGUUCUUCCCGCUGGCAGACAAUCCCUUGCACCCAGCCGGCGGGACUGCUUUGGCGAAGGCGGGGGAGGAAGGCCCUUCUACGGAUGGCGCAGAGAAGACGCCGCAGGAGCUGGACAACACCCUCCCCGACUACGAGGGCAUGCAACGCUUCGCAGCGCUCUUCCAGAGCUUCAACAAAGAGGUGCUGGGAAAGGACUACAACGCUUUCCUGUACUGCCCGAAGCCGCGCGUGGCAGGCUCGGCGACGCGCCGCCCGCGCGACAGCGCAGCGGGUGCGGGAGCCAUGGAGGCAGCAGGGCCGACGGCAGCCUCCGCCGAAGAGGACGCCUGCAAUGUGUCCAUCGAGGAGCUGAUUCGCCGCGCUGCCGCUGAGAAUGCGUGGGAUGGCUUGAUCAUACCUCAACUCAAGGAGUAUCUGGCGACUGCGAACGUGAGCUCCGGCGGGGCAAGACGCAAGGCGGACCUGAUCGAACUUGUCAAGCAGCAUUUUCCGCUGCCAUCCUAAGAGCAAUAAGGUGGCAUCAGGGGAUGGCAAGGUUUUGGUUGUCGUUAAGACUUCUGUUACGCCUCUGCAGAUUCUCUGCCCUCUCCGGCGCUCUUGACGCGGCCGAUUUCUCUCGCAUAUAUAUAUAUAUAUAUACAGCUCUGUGCACCCCUCGUCGUUUUUCUUUUCUAUCGAGUCUGCUCGUUGCUACCUCGGCAG